rnacentral:rRNA from 1 species
UGGUGACCAUAGCGAACGUGAACCACCUGAUCCCAUCUCGAACUCAGAAGUGAAACCGUUUAGUGCCGAUGAUAGUGUGGAUUUUUCCAUGUGAAAGUAGGGAAUCG